rnacentral:lncRNA from 1 species
GGUUAAUUUAAGCGGACCUAAUUAACUUGGGGCGUUGGGAAUUCAUGGUUUAUUGAAAAGCAAUUAGAGAUCAUUUUAUAUGCAAGUGUGACAUGUGUGGAGAUGAACCCCUUAGCUAGCCUCCCAUCCAUCCAUUUAACCCAAAUUCGUUUUAGAGUCUUUUCAAUUUACAAAGUUUUGUUUUGUUUUCAAAAUUCAUCCAAAAUCACUCCCCCAUUAGUUUUAAGUGUCAUAUUAGUUAGAAACCCAUUUAGUUUGUGUUUUAGGUGUCUUGAGUCAAGUUUAAACCAAUUUUCGUCCAAAUUCUUCCCUAGUGUCCAAAACUGCCCAGAAAGUGGUUUUAAGGCAGAGUGUUUAUUUGCUGUUUUGAGUCUUUUGGUUUGUUUUAGUGUUUUAAAGUUUAGUUUUACAUUCUUUGAGUCUAGUUAGUGUUUUAAACUUGUUUUUACGUUUUUGAGUCAAUUCCAAGUGAUUUUGCAAUCCCUCCUAAUCCCCGGCCUAGAACGAUCCCUACUUACAUACUUGCUACAAUUGAUAAAAAGAGGGUUAAUUUGAGUGCUAGUUAUUAUCAUAUCAGCAUCAAUUGAGUGUGAUAAUUGAGUGUAUUGAGGCAUGAAAUCAGAAAUAUUUUAGGGGACAAGGAUGAUUAAGCAUGCAUGGGAAUCCAAAGGGAAUGCUAUGUGGAUUGCACGGCAAAGAUGUGUGUCUUUUUGUGGCUGAGUUCAUGAUCCUUUGUAC